ACAAGAUGGACCCGCGUCUGAUUAGCUAGUUGGUGAGGUAACGGCCCACCAAGGCGACGAUCAGUAGCCGACCUGAGAGGGUGACCGGCCACAUUGGGACUGAGACACGGCCCAGACUCCUACGGGAGGCAGCAGUGGGGAAUAUUGCACAAUGGGGGAAACCCUGAUGCAGCGACGCCGCGUGGAGGAAGAAGGUCUUCGGAUUGUAAACUCCUGUUGUUGAGGAAGAUAAUGACGGUACUCAACAAGGAAGUGACGGCUAACUACGUGCCAGCAGCCGCGGUAAAACGUAGGUCACAAGCGUUGUCCGGAAUUACUGGGUGUAAAGGGAGCGCAGGCGGGAAGACAAGUUGGAAGUGAAAUCCAUGGGCUCAACCCAUGAACUGCUUUCAAAACUGUUUUUCUUGAGUAGUGCAGAGGUAGGCGGAAUUCCCGGUGUAGCGGUGGAAUGCGUAGAUAUCGGGAGGAACACCAGUGGCGAAGGCGGCCUACUGGGCACCAACUGACGCUGAGGCUCGAAAGUGUGGGUAGCAAACAGGAUUAGAUACCCUGGUAGUCCACACUGUAAACGAUGAUUACUAGGUGUUGGAGGAUUGACCCCUUCAGUGCCGCAGUUAACACAAUAAGUAAUCCACCUGGGGAGUACGACCGCAAGGUUGAAACUCAAAGGAAUUGACGGGGGCCCGCACAAGCAGUGGAGUAUGUGGUUUAAUUCGAAGCAACGCGAAGAACCUUACCAGGUCUUGACAUCCUACUAACGAGAUAGAGAUAUGUUAGGUGCCCUUCGGGGAAAGUAGAGACAGGUGGUGCAUGGUUGUCGUCAGCUCGUGUCGUGAGAUGUUGGGUUAAGUCCCGCAACGAGCGCAACCCCUAUCCUCAGUAGCCAGCAUUUAAGGUGGGCACUCUGGGGAGACUGCCAGGGAUAACCUGGAGGAAGGCGGGGAUGACGUCAAAUCAUCAUGCCCCUUAUGAUUUGGGCUACACACGUGCUACAAUGGCGUAAACAAAGGGAAGCGAGAUUGUGAGAUGGAGCAAAUCCCAAAAAUAACGUCCCAGUUCGGACUGUAGUCUGCAACCCGACUACACGAAGCUGGAAUCGCUAGUAAUCGCGGAUCAGAAUGCCGCGGUGAAUACGUUCCCGGGUCUUGUACACACCGCCCGUCACACCAUGGGAGUCAGUAACGCCCGAAGUCAGUGACCCAACCGUAAGGAGGGAGCUGCCGAAGGUGGGACCGAUAACUGGGGUGAAGUCGUAACAAGGUAGCCGUAUCGGAAGGUGCGGCUG
rnacentral:rRNA from 1 species